rnacentral:rRNA from 1 species
UACGAAGGGGGCUAGCGUUGCUCGGAAUCACUGGGCGUAAAGCGCACGUAGGCGGAUUCUUAAGUCGGUGGUGAAAUCCUGGAGCUCAACUCCAGAACUGCCUUUGAUACUGAAGAUCUUGAGUUCGGGAGAGGUGAGUGGAACUGCGAGUGUAGAGGUGAAAUUCGUAGAUAUUCGCAAGAACACCAGUGGCGAAGGCGGCUCACUGGCCCGAUACUGACGCUGAGGCACGAAAGCGUGGGGAGCAAACAGG